rnacentral:misc_RNA from 1 species
GAAAUGCGAUAAGUAAUGUGAAUUGCAGAAUUCAGUGAAUCAUCGAAUCUUUGAACGCACAUUGCGCCUAUUAGUAUUCUAGUAGGCAUGCCUGUUCGAGCGUCAUUUCAACCCUCAAGCCCUGGUUGCUUGGUGUUGGGAGCUUGCCGUGAAACGCAACUCCUCAAAGCUAGCUGGCAGAGUUAGGAUAUGCUCUAAGCGUAGUAAACUUUUACAAGUCUCGCUUCUGUAGCUGUCCUGGCCUUCUCGCCAUAAAAGCCCCAAUUCUUUCUAUGGUUGACCUCGGAUCAGGUAGGAAUACCCGCUGAACUUAA